rnacentral:pre_miRNA from 1 species
AAAAGGACAAACCCUGGGUUUCCGUGUCCAACUUUGACUGUCCGUCUUAUAUGAAAUUUUUUUAUAAUUCGUAUUUUUAUUGUUGUUAGAUGAUAAAACAUGAUUAAUAUUUUAUGCGUGAUUUGUCUUUUUAAAUUUUUUCAUAAUUUUUUCAAAUAAGACAGACGGUCAAACGUUGGGCAUGGAAACC